rnacentral:rRNA from 1 species
CUACUCGGGUUUCUAAUCCUGUUCGAUCCCCACGCUUUCGUGCCUCAGCGUCAGUUACAGUUUAGCAGACUGCCUUCGCAAUCGGUGUUCUGGAUGGUAUCUAUGCAUUUCACCGCUACACCACCCGUUCCAUCUGCCUCAGCUGUACUCAAGCCUAUCAGUAUCAAAGGCACUGCCAUUGUUAAGCAAUAGUCUUUCACCCCUGACUUAAUAAGCCGCCUACGCACCCUUUAAACCCAAUAAAUCCGGACAACGCUUGCACCCUCCGUAUUACCGCGGCUGCUGGCAC